GGGGAAUUUUGGACAAUGGGCGAAAGCCUGAUCCAGCCAUGCCGCGUGAGUGAAGAAGGCCUUCGGGUUGUAAAGCUCUUUCAGACGGAAAGAAAUAGCCUCGGUGAAUAUCCGAGGUUGAUGACGGUACCGUAAGAAGAAGCACCGGCUAACUACGUGCCAGCAGCCGCGGUAAUACGUAGGGUGCGAGCGUUAAUCGGAAUUACUGGGCGUAAAGCGUGCGCAGGCGGUUACAUAAGACAGAUGUGAAAUCCCCGGGCUUAACCUGGGAACUGCGUUUGUGACUGUGUGACUAGAGUACGGUAGAGGGGGGUGGAAUUCCUGGUGUAGCAGUGAAAUGCGUAGAUAUCAGGAGGAACAUCGAUGGCGAAGGCAGCCCCCUGGACCUGUACUGACGCUCAUGCACGAAAGCGUGGGUAGCAAAC
rnacentral:rRNA from 1 species